rnacentral:rRNA from 1 species
GACGAACGCUGGCGGCGUGCUUAACACAUGCAAGUCGAACGGAAAGGCCCUGCUUUUGUGGGGUGCUCGAGUGGCGAACGGGUGAGUAACACGUGAGUAACCUGCCCUUGACUUUGGGAUAACUUCAGGAAACUGGGGCUAAUACCGGAUAGGAGCUCCUGCUGCAUGGUGGGGGUUGGAAAGUUUCGGCGGUUGGGUAUGGACUCGCGGCUUAUCAGCUUGUUGGUGGGGUAGUGGCUUACCAAGGCUUUGACGGGUAGCCGGCCUGAGAGGGUGACCGGCCACAUUGGGACUGAGAUACGGCCCGGACUCCUACGGGAGGCAGCAGUGGGGAAUAUUGCACAAUGGGCGGAAGCCUGAUGCAGCAACGCCGCGUGCGGGAUGACGGCCUUCGGGUUGUAAACCGCUUUCGCCUGUGACGAAGCGUGAGUGACGGUAAUGGGUAAAGAAGCACCGGCUAACUACGU